AACGAACGCUGGCGGCAGGCUUAACACAUGCAAGUUGAACGGGAUUUGUAUGGUGCUUGCACUAUAUAAUGAGAGUAGCGCACUGGUGAGUAACACGUGGGAACAUACCUUGAAGUGGGGAACAACAGUUGGAAACGACUGCUAAUACCGCAUACGCCCUAAGGGGAAAGAUUUAUCGCUUUAAGAUUGGCCCGCGGAAGAUUAGGUAGUUGGUGGGGUAAAGGCCUACCAAGCCGACGAUCUAUAGCUGGUCUGAGAGGACGAACAGCCACAUUGGAACUGAGACACGGUCCAGACUCCUACGGGAGGCAGCAGUGAGGAAUAUUGGGCAAUGGAGGAAACUCUGACCCAGCCAUGCCGCGUGAGUGAAGAAGGUUUUCGAAUUGUAAAGCUCUUUCGGAUGUGAAGAUGAUGACGGUAGCAUCUAAAG
rnacentral:rRNA from 1 species